AAUAAUGUUAGAUUCCAUCGCUUCUCUCGCAAAUCCAUUCGCCUCUAAAACAAUUCUGGAAGAACUCAACUUCUCCUCUAUAUUCUUCAGCUCUUGGUUGUAGUUUUCAAAAUAAAUGGUGGCACACCAUUUACGAGAAUCAAAACAAUGCGCUCCAAAUUCCUGAUCCCGUAAGCGAAAUGAUAGGUAGACACGUUGAUCAGCUGAGUGGAUUUCCCAUCAUACCGACAGACUCCAUUCUUAGGCUAAAAGCGAGAGCUCAACCCCUAGUCCUUCAGCCUCAUCUUUCUGCUUCUCAUUGGUGAGAUCAGUCUCUUUAGUGUAAGGAAUAUUAUUGACUGACCU